UACGUAGGUGGCGAACGUUAUCCGGAAUUAUUGGGCGUAAAGGAUGCGUAGAUGGUGUAGUAAGUUAUCGGUGGCAAAUCGAGGCUCAACCUCGUGGAAGUCGGUAAUACUGCUAUGCUAGAGGAUAGGAGAGGUUAACGGAACUCCCUGUGGAGCGGUGAAAUGCGUAGAUAUAGGGAAGGACACCAAUCAGGCGAAGGCGGUUAACUAGUCUAUUACUGACGUUGAGGCAUGAAAGCGUGGGGAGCAAAACGG
rnacentral:rRNA from 1 species